rnacentral:tRNA from 1 species
GUUCCUGUAGUUGAGUUACAACGGUGGUUUUUCAAGCCAUAAGGUCGGGUUAGAGUCCCGGGGGGAAUU